CCUAGCCAUGCAUGUCUCAGUGCAAGCCGUAUUAAGGCGAUACCGCGAAUGGCUCAAUAUAUCAGUUUUGGUUCCUUAGAUCUUACUCAGUUACUUGGAUAACUGUGGCAAUUCUAGAGCUAAUACAUGCAAUCAGAGCUCCGACCAGUGAUGGGAAGAGUGCUUUUAUUAGAUCAAAACCAAUCGACGGAGGCGGCCUCGGUCGCCGAAGUCGUUUCUUUUGAUGAGUCUGGAUAACUUUUGCCGAUCGCACGGUCCAGUACCGGCGACGCAUCUUUCAAAUGUCUGCCUUAUCAACUUUCGAUGGUAGUUUCUGCGACUACCAUGGUUGUCACGGGUAACGGGGAAUCAGGGUUCGAUUCCGGAGAGGGAGCCUGAGAAACGGCUACCACAUCCAAGGAAGGCAGCAGGCGCGCAAAUUACCCACUCCCGGCACGGGGAGGUAGUGACGAAAAAUAACGAUACGGGACUCUUUCGAGGCCUCGUAAUCGGAAUGAGAACACUUUAAAUAUUUUAACGAGUAUCAAUUGGAGGGCAAGUCUGGUGCCAGCAGCCGCGGUAAUUCCAGCUCCAAUAGCGUAUACUAAAAUUGUUGCGGUUAAAAAGCUCGUAGUUGCAUUUGUGCGCCGCGCUGUCGGUUCACCGCGUCAGCGGUGAGACUGACACGUCUGCGGAGCAUAUCGUCGGUGAGCUUUCGGUAAAACGGAAGUUCAAUAUCAAAAAUCCUAUCGCGGUGCUCUUCGUUGAGUGUCGAGGUGGGCCGACAAUUUUACUUUGAACAAAUUAGAGUGCUUAAAGCGGGCUCAAAAUGCUGCUUGAAUAUUGAGUGCAUGGAAUAAUGGAAUACGACCUCGGUUCUAUUUUGUUGGUUUUCAGAACUCCGAGGUAAUGAUUAAUAGGGAUAACUGGGGGCAUUCGUAUUGCGACGUUAGAGGUGAAAUUCUUGGAUCGUCGCAAGACGAACAUCAGCGAAGGCAUUUGCCAAAGGUGUUUUCAUCAAUCAAGAACGAAAGUCAGAGGUUCGAAGGCGAUUAGAUACCGCCCUAGUUCUGACCAUAAAUAUGUCGAUUAGCGAUCCGCCGAUGUUACUACAAUGGCUCGGCGGGCGGCUUCCGGGAAACCAAAAUUUUUGGACUCCGGGGGGAGUAUGGUUGCAAAGCUGAAACUUAAAGGAAUUGACGGAAGGGCACCACCAGGAGUGGAGCCUGCGGCUUAAUUUGACUCAACACGGGAAAUCUCACCAGGCCCGGACACCGGAAGGAUUGACAGAUUAACAGCUCUUUCUUGAUUCGGUGGGUGGUGGUGCAUGGCCGUUCUUAGUUGGUGGAGCGAUUUGUCUGGUUAAUUCCGGUAACGAACGAGACUCUAGCCUGCUAAAUAGGCGUCGUCAUUUCGGUGCGCGCGACUCGUUCGCGCAACUCACUGGCGGCGUAAUUAAAUUCUUCUUAGAGGGACCGGCGGUUUCGAGCCGCACGAGAUUGAGCAAUAACAGGUCUGUGAUGCCCUUAGAUGUCCUGGGCCGCACGCGCGCUACACUGAAGGAAUCAGCAUGUUCUCCCUGGCCUAGAGGCCCGGGCAACCCGCUGAAACUCCUUCGUGCUGGGGAUUGGGGUUUGCAAUUAUCCCCCAUAAACGAGGAAUUCCUAGUAAGCGCGAGUCAUAAGCUCGCGUUGAUUACGUCCCUGCCCUUUGUACACACCGCCCGUCGCUACUACCGAUUGAAUGAUUUAGUGAGGUCUUCGGACCGACACGCGGUGGCUUCGCGGCCGUCGGCGUUGCUGGGAAGUUGACCAAACUUGAUCAUUUAGAGGAAGAAAAGCGAA
rnacentral:rRNA from 1 species